rnacentral:lncRNA from 1 species
AGGCUCUUUUGUCUUUAAUCGUUCCUUCUCCCUACUUUUCAGAACAUUUGUUAAAUAAACUGGGUCAUUAGUUUUAUACAAUUAUCCUUAUUUCAAAUUUGGCUGAUUGCAUUCUUUUCAUCCUGUUAACUUAGUUUCCCUCCCCGUUUCAACUACCCUCACCAGGCCAGAAUAAUAUAUCAGGAGCAGUGCCAUAUUGCUGGUGGUAAAUGUGGAUACUGGGGUCACAUUUCUGUUUACUUGUGUGAUUGGUCCAAAAGCUAGAUGGAUCUUGAAGAAUGGCAAUGGGUUAUCAUAAACUUGAAUAAGGAUAUAUCAUUGUGCUGCUAUUCAGAUAUGGAGAAAAUCAGCACAGUUCCUGCCCCUAGUUUGCAGCUAUAGACCUACUGACUUUCUAUAUCCAAUAGUAAAUCAGAAGCAUUUUUUUUUAAUUUUUACGGCAGGGCCCGGAGUAUAAUUUUAAUGUACUAUGUUAACUCGCUUGCUUUCUGCUGUAAGGUACGAGGGCACCUUGGUCAUCUCCAUGUCCCACAGAACAUUGCACUGAUCCCUUACAUUGAUGAUAUUUUGAUUAUCAGAUCCAGUGACCAAAAAACAGCAAAUUAUGUACACAUGCAGUAAGAUAUUUGUGUGUCUAUGGGUAGGAGAUAAACCCCAGGAAAAUUCAAGGUUCUGCAUGUUGGUGAAUUGCUAAAAUUCUAAUGGUCUGAAGUCCAUCUGGAUAGUCCUUCUAAAGUGAAAGACAAGUUACUAUACCUUGCACUUUACAUCACAGAUAAUUUUUGGUGGGACUCUGGGUUUUAGAGGCAGUGUUACCAUCUUGCUGUAUGUUACUCUGAUGAGUGCACUGACUUGCUCAUAAGACUGCUAGUUUGAGUAGAGACCUACGGAGAGCACCACAGAAAGUUCAAGCUGUGGUGGACGCUGCAUAUCCUUUGGACGUAAUGAUUCUUUGUGUGUAUAUGGCCUUCAGGAAGCCUCAACAGGAAUAUCACUGUGGACAGGCUCUCACAUCCUAGAUUUUAGAGUAAAGUUAUGACCUUUUAUGCUGCUGAAAUUCCGGGAGAAGCAGUUGCUGUUUUAAUAUGGGAUUCUAAAAGAGUUGGAAUAGCUGACCAUGAUAUACCAAGGGACAAUAAGACCUGAGAAACUGCUCAUGAUCUGGGUGUUUUUGACCUAUCAUAGCCUAAAUUCCAUGGCAGCAAUCCAUUUUACUUAAAAAUAGAUCUGGGUUUGAGCAGUUUUGGGGGGCACAAGUAAAUCUGAUAAAAAGGUGGCUCAGACUCACAUGUUACCAUUAUUUUCUCUUUCACUUCCUUUCCUUCAGCUCAUACCCAUGGCCUCAUGGGUCAGGGCCUAUGACCACUUAACAGAAGAGGAAAAUUGAACAUCCGCUUUACAUAUGGGUGUGCAUAAUAUAUAGGCACCAGCUGGUAGAGGAGGCCUAACAUACUUUUACAGACCUUCUUAAACUUGUCUAUGUUCAGAAGUGGAAGGGGAGGUUCCAAAGGGACAGAACUUUCAGCAGUGCAUAUGGUGGUUGCUCUCCUUAGAAAGAAAGGUGGCCUGAAGCAUGGAUCUGCAUUGAGUCACAGGCUUGCUAACAGGGUAGAUGACUGAUCAAGAUCUUAGAAAGGAAGAGUGGUGACAAGAAGGUCUGAGGAAGAAGAAUUCACCCAUUCAGUACAGACUCUUAGUCAUGAGGUGGCAAGAUGGCCUGUACUACAGAUGCCAGCCUCUUUGACCAGCCACGAUGAUUCUUGCUCAAAAGACUUCUUGACAAAAUAGGCGUGGCAUCAAGAAUGGAAGUUACACAUAGACUGAAAAGCAGACUCUCCCUUACCAAGUCUAAUCUGACUAUUGCUCUUGCUGAGUGUCCAACUUAUGUAUAGCCCAGACCAAUACUUUGUCCCCAGUAUGGCUCCAUCCUUCAGGGGGAACCAGCCAGCCACUCUCUGGGAAGUUAAAUGUAUUGGUUUCUUACCAUUAUGGUGGGGGAAACUGUCCUUACAGGAUUCAUAUUCUGGUUACAGAUUUUCCUUCCUUCCUUUUGUCAGCACCACUGUCUACCAUUGAGAGACCCACAAAAUGCCAUAGUGUUCUUUAAGGAAAUCAUCUUCAACCAAGAAGCUCAUUUCAUAGUGAAAGAAGUCUGGCAGUGAGCUUGGGCCCAUGGAAUUCAAUCAUGAGGUCUUCCUGCUUCUUCCUGAUUGAAAAACAGCUGGACUGAAGAGUAGACAGGCCUACUGAAUGCUGAGAGAUUAUCACAGAAUACUGGGUAGAGUUCUCCGUGCUAUACAGCAGGUCCCUGUUGCCCAAUCAUUCCAUAUACCUCAGUCUGCAUGUGGCAACACCAACAGCCCAUCCCUCCCAUCACUGAGCCUGUCCCCUUUGGUAAGUUAUAUGGUUUUUCAAACUGUGAUUCUGUUUCUGUUCUGCAAAUAAGUUCAUUUGUAUUCUUUUUUUUAAGAUUUCACAUCUAAGUGAUAUCAUAUGAUGUUUGUCUUUCACUGUCUAACUUCACGUAGUAUGAUAGUUUCUAUGUCCAUCCAUGUUGCUGCAAAUGGCAUUGUUUCAUUUUUUAUGGCUGAGUAAUAUUCCAUUGUAUAUAUGUAUCACCACAUCUUUAUCCAUUCCUCUGCUCAUGGACAUUUAGAUUGUUUCUAUAUCUUGGCUACUAUAAAUAGUGCUGUAAGACUUCUACAUUUCUUAAUGGAACCUUUGCUUCUGUAUCCUUUCCUAAGAGAGAAAGAGAUAGCACUAGAGUCAUAAGAAGACCUUCACAAUUAUUACUCUGAGCUGUACAUGUAAAAUCUCUAAGAAUCAGGAAAGCGUCACUAGAGGCUGGGGCUUCGUGGCCCUGGCUGCUGACUCCUGUUGCCUCACAUUGUCUUUCCCGAUUUUUUUCUCUUGGAAAAAUUCUCAAAAUAAGUUGCAGCCACACUUAGACUUCAUGCUACUUGAAUUCUUAAAAGUCAUUUAAAAAUUACCAGAAUAUUCUACAUUCUAAAACAUAAAAACAUGGAGUUCCCAUUGUGGCUCAGUGGGUUAAGAACAUGACAUAGUCUCCCUGAGGAUUCCAGUUCAAUCCCUGGCCUCACUCAGUGGGCUGGGGAACCAGCAUUGCCACAAAUGGGUUACAUAUGCAGCUCAGAUCCAGCAUCACUGUGGCUGUGGCACAGGCCUCAGCUGCGACUCCAAUUUGACUCCUAGCCUAGGAACUUCCCAUAGGCAGGAGGUACAGUCAUAAAAAGAAAGAAAAAAAA